UUUCGCAAUGCCCGAAAGGGUGACGAAGCGACGCCGCGUGUGGGAAGAAGGCCUUCGGGUUGUAAACCACUGUCGGGAGUUAGGAAAUGUAAGGGUGCUAAUAGUAUCCUUACUUGACUAAGGCUCCAGAGGAAGCCACGGCUAACUCUGUGCCAGCAGCCGCGGUAAUACAGAGGCGGCAAGCGUUGUUCGGAAUUAUUGGGCGUAAAGAGCACGUAGGCGGCCUUGUAAGUCAGUUGUGAAAGCCUUCUGCUUAACGGAAGAACAGCAGCUGAUACUGCAAGGCUAGAGUGCGGAAGGGGAGAGUGGAACUUCUGGUGGAGCGGUGAAAUGCGUAGAUAUCAGAAGGAACACCGGCGGCGAAGGCGACUCUCUGGUCCGUAACUGACGCUGAGUGUGCGAAAGCUAGGGGAGCAAACGGGAUUAGAUACCCCGGUAGUCCUAGCCGUAAACGAUGGGCACUAAGUAGAGGGGUUUUA
rnacentral:rRNA from 1 species